UGCCCACCGGCGGGGGGGGGGGCUUUGUUUUUUCAGCCCUGGUCUUUAUUUUGUUUAUUUUGCCGGUGUAAUUAGGGUCCGUUUCAAAAGCUGGCCCUGAUUUAUACCGAUUAAAAUAAGCGGAGAAUCAGGUUGAGUGUAUUUCUGCAUACGUGGGGGGAUAUGAGGGUGGGCAAAUGGGGGUUAUUGCUGAUGAACCUCAUUUUUCCUGGUUAACACAUGCUACCUGCUGUACUUAAUCAGCUAAUUGUUCCCAACUCCCAGCCAUUUUCACGCAAGCAGUUUCAAAGAUCAGCUACCUCAGGAAGAACAAGCUCUCAUUUCCCAGGGAUGCUUAAAUGAUCGGAAAGAUUUUACAGCACUUCCUUUCUGAAAUAUCAGCAUAUUUUCUCUUUCUUUUCCACUCACGGAGUGCCCACUUAGUUCUUCAGUCACAUAAAUCCUUCACACUCACAGUCCUCGGUGCACAAUUUAAGAACAAAUUAGAUCAUUGGUUUGCAACCAGCAAAUCUGGAUCUGCAAUGACUGAUAGACUGCUCUUAAUGCACUUGCAGAAGCAAAAUAAGCAAAGCAAAUCUAUUGUCAAUGGGCUUAAAUUCACUGCCCCACAUCCACAUCUCCAUUAGGAAACAUUUCUUGUACACAAAUUUUUAAAGGUUGCCAACAACUGCGUAAGAGAGCUCUCCUUCAGGGAUGGACAGAUCUCAGACGAGGGGGACUGAUUUUCCCAGCCUACCAUAGCUUUCAUUUAGGAUGCGGGUGGCACUUUAAUUCUGACCUCAUGCAUUUCAAGGGACAAACAGAACAUAUGUCUGGCUGGCAGUGGAUUUCCAUUUAGCAGGGGCUGUAGCCUCAGAAACAUUUUAAGCCUCCAUGAAAUAGCUUCACCACCAAAAGAAAUUAUUUUAUUCUCUGCUGCUCUUUUUCAUUCCUACGCUAACACUCCCCAUGGGCCAGCACAAGAGAACUGAGCUGAAUACAGCACUGAGCUGAGCUUAAAACGUACCUGACAAAUAUAUGUAAGCAAAGCCAUAAGUAUAUACCACUGAGUUUUAAACCCAGAUACGUUUCCCAGUCCUUGUUCAUGAUGGCCAAAUGUGGCUCAACCCUUGUGCCAGCACAAGGGAAGGAGCUGUGUGGGAUAGGGAUGGGGAAAGGACAGAGAAAAUUCUUUCAGUGACAGUGCCAUGUUAUGGUGGCUCAAAUUUUUCAUGUGAACAGUCCUGGCCUGGGAAAGGUGUGAAGAGUUGGAUGUGUUAAUUAUGGGGAGCUUUGAGGAAAUGGUCUUGUUAAGCAGCCUCUGCGUCUUGUACAUCAACUCCUUGUCUUGGUUCCUGUGCUGUCUGGACUAACUCUCUGAUUUCAGUAGACUCCCCAGUUUGUACUGGGAGACCAGAACACCCUUUUGGCUGGGAGGGUGUGUGGGUUGAGGUUACAGUUUGCUCAUGGCUUGGCUUGAGAUUUCCUUGGUUUUAGCAGCUGUGUACAGACACACCAAUGCAAUCAUAACUGUAGCGUUAUUAUGAUCAUUUUUGCUGGAUGAUAGUAGGGUUUAGCUUUCCCUUGUUUUUUUUAGUUGGAGAUAAAUACCAGACUGCCUGUGUCUUUGUGUAGCUAUUUGCACACUAUUUCUAAAUGUGUGUCAGCAUAUGUCAAGACCAGUAUAUCCAAAAAUGUGCAUAGAGGUAUAGGGGUGUAUAGCUGUGUGCCACCAUAGGUAUGUAUGCUCAGCCUAUAUUGGCACGUCUGCCUAGCACGCAGGCAAAACAGAUUUUACUCCUAGAUUAGAAAUUAGCCAGUAUAUAAUCAUGGGCAAAUCAUGUCAUUGCUCUGUGCUUCAUCUUCCUGUUGGUAAGAGGGGUGAGAACGAGCUGCAGACGUUGGAUACGCACCAUGCCGAGCAGAUGGGAGCUUAGAAGCCAGGCAUCAUCCUUUGGGUCAGCAUAUCCAGCAUCCUGCUGGGGAACCACGUCACUGAUCUGCUGGAAGAAGGGCAGGUUUUGAACCGUGUUGGAGCAGAACAACACUGAAAGCAAAUCCCUACCACCGGGUAUUUAAUCUCUGACAAACUGAUGCCAUGCAAUGAAGAUGACCUCUUGGCAGACGUUGCCCAACCCCAGCCAAUUCUUAUGCCUGUGACAGAAGGAGGCAAGGACAACAGCUAGAGAGUACCUGCUUUAUUGCAAAAGAAACCGUAGUAUUUCAAAUGUGUUCUUAGUUGGAAAAUAAUAUUUUCUGCUUAAAAUACUAUGAUUAGGUCUCAUUUACUUUGACCUCACUGAUCACAGUUGGUUGUACAAUUAGUUGAUCACAUUAAUAUGUGUGAUCAGUCGCUAGUGUCUGAACUUAUUUCAAGUAAAUAGCUAAAAGUUCAUGCAAAUUUUUAAGUGUAUAUCCUUCAACUACACAGCCUUUCCUCUCAACAGUCAUAUACCUUCUGCAGCACCUUGUUGGACCCAACAAAUCUUGAGAUUUCUUAAAAGUUGUAAGAUUAAAAAAAGGAGGCAUGGCAUUUUUUUUCUAUUUGAGUUUGGAUUGCUGCCAUAAGCUGCCCAGCAUUUCUGGAUUUUAAUUUUUUAGAUUGGUGGUACACUGCUGCUGCGUGCUGCUAAACAUCUUCUCCAUCUUCUGCAGAAGAGGUGGCUGCGUUUGAGGCAAGGAACUAUUUUACAGCCUUUAGAAGUGACUAAUUCAGGAAACCCUCACCUGUUAGAAUCCUUUACUUUCACCUACUCUUAAUUUCCAAAACUGUCUAAUUUGGAGCUGAAAUUUCCCAGGCUGAAAGCUCUGAGGGGAAAAAUAAAGCAAGAUUUCAGUCCAGGCAGGGAACCCAUUUUUGUAAUUUUAAGAGGCCCGAUAGUGUAAUAUUUUUUAGUACUGCUCUUGUAAAGUGGUUUGGUUUGGGGCUCCUCAUUUGCAUUUGCACUGAACUCAGUACAUAGCAUUACUAACUUAGAUUUCUCUCUAAUGAAUAAUGGUGCCGAAUCCUGUCACUGUGAUGACCUUUACCUGCCCCUCAAGCUUUUUGCAGUCUCCAGGAAGACCGCAGGGGUACGUCGGGAAGACAACCCCACGGUGCAGCAAACUCACGUCAACAGCUGCUGCGAGAAAUAACUUUCACCAUUACAGUCGAAGUACGCCAUCAGCUAUGGACCCCACAAAUAAAUCUUUGUGUAUAUGAAACUGUCAGAACAUCCUUUGUGCAACAUGUGUUCGCCCAGCGUGCAAUGAUGGCUACUAAACAAUUCACUUAGUACGUGAUGUGUUUAUGAUGCUUGACUGGACCCCAGAAGUAGGCUGCAGUUUCACGUUCUUAGCACAGAAAUAUCCUUACAGCCUCCCAGUAAGAGGCUCUAAUUCACUUUAUAGAGGUGUGUACCUCCACUGGAAAGCAAGAGUGUAGAGACUUUAAAUUAAAAGAAAGGUCAGGAUCUGCCAGUGAAAGGCUAUUAAAAAAAACCCAUUAAAACAUUAAACCCUAUGCAUUUGCAAGAUCCUGAGGGGAGAACAGAAGGCUUAGUACCUGGCAAUACACCUGAGCAAUAGAAGGAGAAAAUUAAAAAAAAAAUUUGAUUCACAUUUUCAUCCCCUUGCUUUUCCCCUUUCAGAGUUAUUUCCACCAGGGAUCUGCUAUCACAUGGCAGCUAGAGCAUUUAGCAUCCACGUGUCUGGGAGGUGAGCAGCCACCCAAGAGACAAGAUAAUGGAGCAGGAAGAGCUGCCUCCCCUGCCCAUUAGUUGAAUGUUCCCAAGGAGAGUGCGAGAUGCUCCCCAGAAGCAAUCAUUUCUGUUUGAAAGCCUCAGCUGUUACAUGAAAAAAAUCAUAAUAAUGGUGGCAAAGAGCUGAACUGAAUGAGAUUGCACAGCGGUGCUUUUAUCUGGUAGGAGGAGGAAAGAAGAGUAUGUCUGUAGCAUGGUGUGAAAGCCAUAGGAAGAGAUGUGUCCCCUUAAGAAGAAGAAAGAAACAUUUUACCAAAAUGUUUUAGAAGAGCCUUUCUUUAUUGGGCUGCUGGUUGCCAAGGAGAAAGAAUUGAUCGUUCAGAAAAAAGAUGAGAAAAGGAGCUGUCAGGAAAGAAGACAUCUGGAGCUGACUUGUGUACAGUUUCUUCUUCUUAGCCCAGUGACACUGAAUCAUUUGCUUCACUGUUCUAAACUGAAUAAAGCUCUGGAAUUAUCUGAUUUCCAUUUAAAUAAAAACACCCUCUUGCAGUCUC